GCCCAGUGACAAAUGUUCAACGGCCGCGGUAUCCUAACCGUGCGAAGGUAGCGUAAUCACUUGUUCUUUAAAUGGGGACUAGUAUGAACGGCAUCACGAGGGUUAUGCUGUCUCCUUUUUCUAAUCAGUGAAACUAAUCUCCCCGUGAAGAAGCGGGGAUUAAUCUAUAAGACGAGAAGACCCUAUGGAGCUUUAAACUUCUCUUCAAGUGCCAAACUAUUUUAUCCGGUCUCAGACCCCCUUCACACUAAACCCCUGGCACUAUGAAGAUGACUUUUAGGUUGGGGUGACCGCGGAGCACAAAAAAACCUCCACGCUGAACAGGCCUCAAAACCUUGAGAUUAGGGCUACAACCCAAUUCACUAAAAAAUUAACACUUAUUGACCCAAUAACAAUUGAUCAACGAACCAAGUUACCCUAGGGAUAACAGCGCAAUCCACUUCAAGAGUCCCUAUCGACAAGUGGGUUUACGACCUCGAUGUUGGAUCAGGGUAUCCCAGUGGUGCAGCCGCUACUAAUGGUUCGUUUGUUCAACGAUUAAAACCCUACGUGA
rnacentral:rRNA from 1 species